UCUUCCUUUUUUCUCCCGAAGAUACUAAGGGAAGAUGGGAUUGUCCCUUGUAGAGCAUACAUGCUCUCGAUGUGGUAAGAAGCUGCGGGAAGCUGCUAUCAGAAAAUCUGUGCACUGCAUAAAGUGCAACAGAUGGUAUCACAGAACGUGUUUUAUGGCCGAUACAGGCGUUGUCAUCGAGGAAAAGGCGCCAACGAGCGAUAGAUGCGUUUGCUGUCUUGCAGGGACGAUAGACAUGAAAUCAAAGAGGUACAGUCAUCACAUGAACAAGUAUGCGAAAGGCUUUAUUAAGAACGGUUUUUGUGUAGUUCCACUUGCUGAGACAAAGACAGAGUUGGAGCAGAUCACCCAGGACCUCUCCACAUGGAAUGCUGAUCUUCUCCGGUACUUCAAGGCGUUGCUCACGACAUACGAGUGCCAGGCAGAGAUGGGGGGUGCUGUUCCGUCACUUGAGAGUGGGUACUCGAACUUUCGUCAGCGAUGUCCGGGGAGGUUUGAAAUUAUUGCAGACUUCAUCACUUCUAAAGUAGUUCCCCUAGUCGCCAACGCACAAACGGUUCAGCAAACACUCGACGCACUUCUUUGCAACUCACAACUACAGACUGGGAAGAAGGUGAUGUCAUCCGGUUGUUUUCUAUCGCUGAUGGGCAGUGAAACGCAAAACGCGCACACCGAUGGGCCUGCGCUUAGCAAUGUUGUGAACCUUUUCCCCUAUGCCAUUAACGUAUUUGUACCCUUGAUCAGUGUCGACAGCCGCAACGGCACUGAGUUUUUUCCUGGGUCUCACGUUGUUGGAGAUCGAAGACAAAGCAAGUCAGUCUCUCCACCUGUUGCUCUCGGCAGCGUAUUGCUAUUCGACUAUCGAGUUGUUCAUCGUGGGCUACGCAAUGCAAAAUCGGAACCUCGCCCUUGCUACUAUGUUACGUUUUCAAGAAGCUGGUACCAAGAUACGUACAACUUCAGUGAGAGGCGCUACAAGAAACGACUAGACGUGGACCCCACUCUGUUGGAGAGCAGAGAGGAGCGCAUGGCAAAGAAGAGCCGCUCUGACGACGGGGGAAGCAGCGCUUCGCAACUUCGUUGAACACGAUGCAUCACUAGUACAAGAAAGAAACGCCUAUGCAUAGAUACUUCUGAGUUGCUUUACAUGUUUGCGAGGGAAAUUCCUUUUUGAUCUUUUUUUUUGCAUUGCGCAAAAAAAAAAUCGGGUUUUAUGCGCGCUCCAAGGCUCAAAUCAUUUCUGUUGCAAGCUAUUGACAG
rnacentral:misc_RNA from 1 species